UAUUGUGCAAGGAUUCAUGUCAAAAAUAUGAAGAUCUCAUACGAAAAUAUCUUGUGCAAAGAAUUUGAAGAUCUUGUACAAAAAUAUAACAAGUGGCGCGCCCUUUUUGCCCUUUUGCUGCUUUUGCUUCUUCGACAUAGCUGCCUAUUUUAGUAUUUCUGACCUAGAGCCCAUGGUUUCUUGUGCAACACUUUAGUGAUUUAAUUCUUGGGGUUCAAGUCAAUGUUAGACUAUAAAUAGAGCAGUCAUCUAGUUAGUAAAACCAUC
rnacentral:lncRNA from 1 species